CAAAAAAAAAAAAAAAAACCGAUGAACACGAGCUUGUUUCGUCAUUCUUGCCAAGUCGAAUCAGGGAUGGAUUUGGAGACAGCAAUCAAUUUGGCAAUGGAAUUGAAGAUGGGCCGCAACUAUAUUCUUGUCCAGAAAGGAUUUCAGAGCCUGUAAUUGAGAUUUCUGCACACAAAUUGGGUGAGGAUUUCGUUCUUUAUUUUACUCCUUGGUUUGAUCUGUGUACAACAAACUGAAAUUUUCUUCUUGAUUCUCUUCAUCGGUGACUCUGGGCUUUGAUGUUGUUUUCUUUGAGUUGCUGGCGCAUCGAAAGCAAGGCUCCUGUCUUUGACUCCGGGUGCUAUAGGGAAGACACGCAUAGACUAUUGCUGACAUCGAGAGUGUAAACAAACAGCAAUAGUUAUCAAAACCUCAAGGGCCUCUCGAAGCUUUUUUCUUUGGUGGCCCGAGAAGAGAUCGGCAACUAUAGUUUAGCCAAAUUUCAGAACUCCAGGAUUUAAACUCAAGGGUGAGGCUCUUUUUUUUAUAUUUACCCACUGGUUUGUUUAGAAUAGGUGUUUUUGGAACUGAGGUUGGGACCAGCUCUUUUUGGCUAUGGAGUUUUGAAAAGAUGCAGGGAGGAAUUAUAUGUGGUGUUUAAGUGGAAUUGACAGAGUUCCUGGUAUCAUUUUUAUAUUGAACCACGACCCUAUGGUGAUUCACAAAGGGCCCUCUGUCGGUUCGGUGUAUUAAACAGCCAAAACUUGAGGAUAAUAUCGGCACCCUAAGGCUCGCCGUUUCAAAGUUCUGAAAACAGUAUUGGCACCGUAAGGCACCGCCACCGGAGCUUUGAAAGUAGUUUCGGCACCCUAAGGCACGCUGAGUCGAAGCUCAACGACAAUAUCGGCACCCUAAGGCACGCCGUGUCGGAGCAUGAUAUUGAUACCCCACGGUAUCGCUGGGGGCCUGCAUCAUUUGAGAACAGCAAAGGAAAAGGUGCAGAUCGGUGAAAGUCUCACCCUCUUCUUUCUUGCUUUCUUCCUCUCCUCCGCUGCUCUCCCUCCGCUUCUUCCCGGUCUCCUAAUGCUGCUAGUCUCGCUUGCAGUUGUUGCAGUUCUGCAAAUGAGACGCUAGCACUUUGAAGUUUGCCCAGCAAAACUAAAAAUUUCUACAGAGACUUAGAGUGCAAUUAAUCAAACUUUUAAGAGGCUUUUUCCCCAAAAUGCACUAACCCAUAUCUAUUUAGUAGAAUAUGGUAUACAUUGGUUUCUUUCGAGCAUAAGCUCAUAGCAUAGAA